UACAGAGGUCUCAAGCGUUGUUCGGAUUCAUUGGGCGUAAAGGGUGCGUAGGCGGUACCGAAAGUUAGGUGUGAAAGUUCGAGGCUCAACCUCGAAAUUGCACCUAAUACUCCGGUGCUUGAGUCUCAUAGAGGAAUCUGGAAUUCACGGUGUAGCAGUGAAAUGCGUAGAUAUCGUGAAGAAGGCCUGUGGCGAAAGCAAGAUUCUGGGUGACGACUGACGCUGAGGCACGAAAGCCAGGGGAGCAAACGGG
rnacentral:rRNA from 1 species